AAUGAGCUUCAUAAACAAACAAUUCAGACAUUUUUUAGGUUCUGGAAAUGCAAAUGGUCCUGGAAUUCAGGCUCUGAUGCAAGCCAUUGAGCAUGAACUUGAAGUUACAUUACAUUGCGAGUGCAUGAAGUGCGUUCAGAGUAUGAGCGUCAAUUGCAAGAGUAAGGCUCCUUGAAAUCAUGAGUGACACUCCUCAAACUAUGUCUCCAAGUGCGAGAAAUUCAAGAAUCGUUGCCUUGGAAAAUAUGCUGGCGACUUCAUCUAGUUCCCUUGUAUCUAUGGCAUCACAAUUAUCAGAAGCUGAGGAGCAUGAGCGUGUAUUUGGUGGGCGUGGUCGUUGGAAUCAAGUCCGUUCAAUUGUAGAAGCAAAAAAUUUGAUGAAUUAUUUGUUCAA